CCUACGGGUGGCAGCAGUGGGGGAUAUUGCACAAUGGGGGGAACCCUGAUGCAGCGACGCCGCGUGGGUGAAGGAGUGCUUCGGCAUGUAAAGCUCUAUCGGCAGGGAAGAAGAAAGACGGUACCUGACUAAGAAGCCCCGGCUAACUACGUGCCAGCAGCCGCGGUAAUACGUAGGGGGCGAGCGUUAUCCGGAUUCACUGGGUGUAAGGGGUGCGUAGACGGCCAAGCAAGCGUGGGGUGAAAGCCCGGGGCUCAACCCCGGGACUGCCCUUGGAACUGUAUGGCUGGAGUGCGGGAGGGGCAGGCGGAAUUCCUGGUGUAGCGGUGAAAUGCGUAGAUAUCAGGAGGAACACCGGCGGCGAAGGCGGCCUACUGGACCGCGACUGACGUUGAGGCUCGAAAGCGUGGGGAGCAAACAGGAUUAGAUACCCCAGUAGUC
rnacentral:rRNA from 1 species